AUCCAGAAAUUCCAGAAACACGAAGAAUUAAACAAAGAUUUCGUCAUUCUAUUCAGAGUUUGGAUUAUGUUGCUACAUCAGCGAGGCCAGCAAUAUCAUUAGAAGAC